CCUGUGAUGGAGAGAUCAAAUGCAGCUGUAGGUGUCACUGGGAAAUGUGGGCUGUUCUAGUGACAAUGUAGUGGUGGGGAUGCAUGUACCAAAAAAAAAUGCUUUUAUUUUUUUCAUUUUUAACGGUGAAGUUGUUAUUGACUGUUCUGGCUCUCCCUCAUUUUGCUUUAAGUCCCAGGUCUUUUACUUGUUUGCUUUUACCCACACUGAAACGCGUGCUCUGAAGCUGUCAGAAGUCAAUAAAAUAUCUAUGUGAUGUGUCAUUCCCUCUCGGCUGCGCAGGGAUGCUGCCAUCCCUUAACGACACGGAGAUGGAGAGUCUUCAGGUGAGUGAUUUUAGAUACCUACAAGACAGACAAUCAAUGCAGCGAGGCACGCUUGCCAAUUAAAGAACCGCACUAGAGGAUCUUUUACAGUCAAACGCAUGAGCUACACACUGAAAAGUUUUACUUAAAACUGCCCAAAAUCAUGGGUUCUGCUGAGAGCAGGAGGCUGGGUGGGUACGUGGGGAGGGCUCGGGCAGUUUUUCCCCAGCAGUUUCCUGGGAGAACGGCUGCUGCUCUGUCGCUCCAGUGGGACACCGGCACUCGGGGGGUUCGGGGACAUGGAAAAUGAAUCAUGCAGCAUCACACAGGGGCACGUUAAAUCCCCUCUUCUGAACUUGAAUCGUAAUUAGUUCUACAAAUUGAAUAAAUGAAUGUUUAAUUAAAAUACAGCCUAAUUAUCCAACGUAUGCUUUUAAUAGGACCUAAUUGUGGUAUUUUGAGUUAUUUAAAUUGCUGAUACACUGAAACGAUCUGUUGGCUGCGCCUGUUAGACUGUUGCCUGCUUGCAUUUGUUAAAAUCUGAGCAGUUUUACGUUUGUGUGUGCUGCUGAUGUUUGUGUCCCCUCCUGCAGAAGGACAGGCGGGUGCUGGUGAUGGAUGCUCAUCAACGCCACUGAAGGUUUUAAUCAGGAUCCUUUUCCCUGGCUGAAGGCUAGAACAGCUCUUCUGCAGCUUUGCUGGGAGGAAGACUUCAGUGCCCCUCCUGUGGAGCCCACCCUUCCCAAAGAUCACGAUACUGCUCAAAGCAACAGGAACCGAUGCCAUGGGGUGCAGCGGUGGGGACCAGCCCGGCUACCAGAGCCCAGGCACCAGGACAGCCAUUGGCAUGGUGGCACCUCCCACCCCCUGUCAGCGUGGCCCAGUGCCUGGGAGGAACAGACAUCUUGAAGCAAGAACACUAUUUUUUAUGCUAUGGUCUUUCCAAGUCCUAGCAAAGCCAUGAAAAAUGCCACAAUUCUGCAGGAAGGGAGACGAGGCCAUGCCAAACCAUGGCAUCUCCCACAAGCGGGACAACAUGAAGUCAAGAGAUCGUGAGGUCUGUGUGUUCCCAGCCCUGAGUCAGCCCCCAAGUUUUUUUUGAAGCAAUAUUUAAUUUACAUUUUCAGAAGCAUCCAGAAUCAACCAGCUUGGCUAGCCCAAGCCCGACGGCACAUACUCACUUAAGUUUUAUUUAGCCACGACAGCGUUUUCAUGGACAUUGGGUAUUACUGGAGCCUGUCUCAGUCUGCUCUGGAGAGCCGCAGCGUUGAGGUAAUGUCCUGUGGGGCUGCCAUUAGCUGGUGAAGCUGAGAGAACGCUGGGGAGCAGCUGGAAGGGCUGAGAGCCUGCUUUGUGCUCGCACUGUCUGACUUUUCUGAUGCUUGACUUUGUGGCUGCGUUUCCCACUGUGCAGCCAGGAACUUCAUGCUUUCGCUUCAGUAAAAUAAAUUGUGUUGUUGGCCUUUAAGCUCUCA
rnacentral:lncRNA from 1 species